rnacentral:rRNA from 1 species
GCGAACGCUGGCGGCAGGCUUAACACAUGCAAGUCGAACGGGCGUAGCAAUACGUCAGUGGCAGACGGGUGAGUAACGCGUGGGAACGUACCUUUUGGUUCGGAACAACCCAGGGAAACUUGGGCUAAUACCGGAUAAGCCCUUACGGGGAAAGAUUUAUCGCCAAAAGAUCGGCCCGCGUCUGAUUAGCUAGUUGGUGAGGCAACGGCUCACCAAGGCGACGAUCAGUAGCUGGUCUGAGAGGANGAUCAGCCACAUUGGGACUGAGACACGGCCCAAACUCCUACGGGAGGCAGCAGUGGGGAAUAUUGGACAAUGGGCGCAAGCCUGAUCCAGCCAUGCCGCGUGAGUGAUGAAGGCCCUAGGGUUGUAAAGCUCUUUUGUGCGGGAAGAUAAUGACGGUACCGCAAGAAUAAGCCCCGGCUAACUUCGUGCCAGCCGCCGCCGU